CCUACGGGUGGCAGCAGUGGGGAAUAUUGCACAAUGGUCGAAAGCCUGAUGCAGCAACGCCGCGUGAAGGAAGACGGUUUUCGGAUUGUAAACUUCUGUUCUUAGUGAAGAAUAAUGACGGUAACUAAGGAGCAAGCCACGGCUAACUACGUACCAGCAGCCGCGGUAAUACGUAGGUGGCAAGCGUUGUCCGGAAUUACUGGGUGUAAAGGGAGCGUAGACGGUGCGCCAAGUCUGGAGGGAAAUGCCGCAGCUUAACUGCGGAACUGCUUUGGAAACUGGCGAACUAGAGUGCGGGAGGGGUAAGCGGAAUGCCUAGUGUAGCGGUGAAAUGCGUAGAUAUUAGGAGGAACACCGGUGGCGAAGGCGGCUUACUGGACCGUAACUGACGUUGAGGCUCGAAAGCGUGGGGAGCAAACAGGAUUAGAUACCCCGGUAGUC
rnacentral:rRNA from 1 species